rnacentral:rRNA from 1 species
AUGGCCUCCAAGGUGUUCGCAGUGCUGGCUAUCGUUCUGGCCCUCACCCAUGGGCAUCUCCCUGCUGUGAUGGGCGAGACGACGCCAUCAGAUCGUCCAAAAGUCUUACCACGUCAAGAUGCUGCUCCGGCAGCAGCUGGGAAUGGUGCAGCUGCAGCCCCUGGAUUCACUGAGGAGAAGGGAUGGUUCUUUCAGCGUCCGCUAGCAAGGCCGACCCCUCUUCCUCCUUCCUUAAAGCUGUGA